GAAACAUUUGAAGUGACUUAGUGGCGGACGGGUGAGUAACGCGUGGGUAACCUGCCCUGUACUGGGGGACAACAGUUGGAAACGGCUGCUAAUACCGCAUAAGCGCACAGCAUCGCAUGGUGCAGUGUGAAAAACUCCGGUGGUACAGGAUGGACCCGCGUCUGAUUAGCUAGUUGGUGGGGUAACGGCCUACCAAGGCGACGAUCAGUAGCCGGCCUGAGAGGGUGAACGGCCACAUUGGGACUGAGACACGGCCCAGACUCCUACGGGAGGCAGCAGUGGGGAAUAUUGCACAAUGGGCGCAAGCCUGAUGCAGCGACGCCGCGUGAGUGAUGAAGUAUUUCGGUAUGUAAAGCUCUAUCAGCAGGGAAGAAAAUGACGGUACCUGACUAAGAAGCACCGGCUAAAUACGUGCCAGCAGCCGCGGUAAUACGUAUGGUGCAAGCGUUAUCCGGAUUUACUGGGUGUAAAGGGAGCGUAGGCGGCAUGGCAAGUCAGAUGUGAAAGCCCGGGGCCCAACCCCGGAACUGCAUUUGAAACUGUCAGGCUAGAGUACCGGAGAGGUAAGCGGAAUUCCUAGUGUAGCGGUGAAAUGCGUAGAUAUUAGGAGGAACACCAGUGGCGAAGGCGGCUUACUGGACGGUAACUG
rnacentral:rRNA from 1 species